AAAAUAUCUAAGAAGAAAUCGUUCCCUCGAAUCAUGCUCUUCCUCUUCUCCGUUCACAACCACCAAACUUUCCUCUUCUCUAUCUGCCAUUACUCUCACUGUAAAAUUACACGGUUUUGAUUCAUGGGUUAUUUCAAAAUCGGGAUUAAGAAACAAGGGUUUGAGAUGUAUAAGAAGAUGCAUGAAGAUGGUGUUUUCCUUAAUCUCUAUACUGAAUAACUGUGUGAUGAAGCAGCUUUGCAAAGAUGGAAGAGCAAUAGAUGCAUUCAAAGUGUUCGACGAAAUGCGUGAAAGAGGAGUUUCAUGUAAUUUUAUUUACCUUGAUCACAAUCUCUUCGACUUUGUCAUCUGUUUGGUCCAACGGCUAUUGGUUUCAGGAAAUCUUACGACUAUCUCCUUGUCUAAUGAAGAGGAUUCGAUGCUAUGGGAUGAUUGAUGUCGUCGUCGGCCGAGACUUGCUCACUCCGGUGAGAGUGUAUGAGCUUCGUCUCAAUUUCUUCGUAUUCUUCCCUCCCUUCAUUAUUUAUUUUGGGCUUCAUAUUGGGCCCAUUAGCUCUUCAUUUGGUUUGUGUGGGCUUUCUGUAAACAAUGGUGGGCACUUUGGUUUUUUAGAUUUAAUGCAUAAAUUUCAACAAA